ACAAAUACAAAAUAGAUGAAAACUUUCCCGGAUUACUGAACUGCUUUUUUAUUGUACUUGCACCUUGAGUUCUGUUUUCCUUAAUUUUUCCUAAAAGUCAAAGAAAUCCUAAUCCUUCUUCCCUUUUGAUUGGGUUUGAUUCAUCCUUUCAAUUUCGAUUGAGUCUAUCUCCAAAUUCAUAAUGUUCAAAACUUUCUCUUACACCUUAGCUCCAUGGAAGAAUAUGUUACUGUUGUCGCAUGGAUGAUAGAAUUCCUCCUGGAAGCGAAGGCAGGAGCAAAGCC
rnacentral:lncRNA from 1 species